rnacentral:tmRNA from 1 species
UGCCAACAACAACAACUACCGCGAGGCGCUCGCAGCCUGAACCGCUGCGGCCUCUGUCCGACUGGGAUGAUGCUUGGGUCCCCAGUUGGGCAUGUCUUGACCAAGCUAGUCGUGAGGGACCUCGGCCACGCGGGACCAGGCGACGAGAAACAAGCAACUCAAGUCGUGGUCUUCCGGUCUGAACCAGUGCCUUCGAGGCAGGCCGGGCGAGUGAGAGGGCUACGCACGUAGACGCUUCGACUGAGUGAUUUCGGACAGGGGUUCGACUCCCCUCGCCUCCACUG